rnacentral:rRNA from 1 species
AACGAACGCUGGCGGCAUGCCUAACACAUGCAAGUCGAACGAGACCUUCGGGUCUAGUGGCGCACGGGUGCGUAACGCGUGGGAACCUGCCCUUAGGUUCGGAAUAACUCCCCGAAAGGGGUGCUAAUACCGGAUAAUGUCUUCGGACCAAAGAUUUAUCGCCUUUGGAUGUGCCCGCGUUGGAUUAGCUAGUUGGUAGGGUAAAAGCCUACCAAGGCUACGAUCCAUAGCUGGUCUGAGAGGAUGAUCAGACACACUGGGACUGAGACACGGCCCAGACUCCUACGGGAGGAAGCAGUGGGGAAUAUUGGACAAUGGGCGAAAGCCUGAGCCAGCAAGGCCGCGUGAGUGAUGAAGGUCUUAGGGUUGUAAAGCUCUUUUACCCGGGAUGAUCAUGACAGUACCGGGAGAAUAAGCUCCGGCUAACUCCGUG